GAUGAACGCUGGCGGCGUGCCUAAUACAUGCAAGUCGAGCGAAUGGAUUAAGAGCUUGCUCUUAUGAAGUUAGCGGCGGACGGGUGAGUAACACGUGAGUAACCUGCCCUUGACUCUGGGAUAACUGCGGGAAACUGUAGCUAAUACCGGAUACGACCCUCGGAGGCAUCUCCUGGGGGUGGAAAGAAUUUCGGUCAAGGAUGGACUCGCGGCCUAUCAGCUAGUUGGUGAGGUAAAGGCUCACCAAGGCGACGACGGGUGGCCGGCCUGAGAGGGGGACCGGCAACACUGGGACUGGGACACGGCCCAGACUCCGACGGGGGGAAGCAGUGGGGAAUAUUGCACAAUGGGCGCAAGCCUGAUGCAGCAACGCCGCGUGAGGGAUGACGGCCUUCGGGUUGUAAACCUCUUUUAGCAGGGAAGAAGCGAAAGUGACGGUACCUGCAGAAAAAGCACCGGCUAACUACGUGCCAGCAGCCGCCGUAA
rnacentral:rRNA from 1 species